AUACGGAGGGUGCAAGCGUUAUCCGGAAUCAUUGGGUUUAAAGGGUCCGUAGGCGGGCAAAUAAGUCAGAGGUGAAAUCCCACAGCUCAACUGUGGAACUGCCUUUGAUACUGUUUGUCUUGAGUUAUAGUGAAGUAGAUAGAAUAUGUAGUGUAGCGGUGAAAUGCAUAGAUAUUACAUAGAAUACCGAUUGCGAAGGCAGUCUACUAACUAUUGACUGACGCUAAUGGACGAAAGCGUGGGGAGCGAACAGGAUUAGAAACCCUAGUAGUCC
rnacentral:rRNA from 1 species